rnacentral:tRNA from 1 species
CCACGCCCGGGAGCUGGGAUACGGCUUCGGCCACUUGUGGCGGGGCGGCCGCCGCGGCCAGCUGUUCCAGUCGACUGUCGCGGUC